CACGUAGGGCGCAAGCGUUGUCCGGAAUUAUUGGGCGUAAAGAGCUCGUAGGCGGUCUGUUGCGUCCGCUGUGAAAACUCGGGGCUUAACCCCGAGCCUGCAGUGGAUACGGGCAGACUAGAGGUAGGUAGGGGAGAAUGGAAUUCCCGGUGUAGCGGUGAAAUGCGCAGAUAUCAGGAGGAACACCGGUGGCGAAAGCGGUUCUCUGGGCAUGUCCUGACGCUGAGGAGCGAAAGUGUGGGGAGCGAACAGGG
rnacentral:rRNA from 1 species